rnacentral:rRNA from 1 species
AUGCACUCCGUGCUCUUCUCCAUGGCGACGCCCCGGCGAAGCACCCGACGGCGGCCAGCAGAUGGAAGCCAGCGUCCUGGACAACGAGUCGCUCGCCCCGGCCAGCAACGCCCCGCCCAAAUCGCCCAACGCGACGCCGGCCCCCACAGCGGCCGCGGCCACGCCCACCGCUACCCCCGCCCCGCCCGCCGUCGACGCGACCGCACCGCCCACUAUUACCCUGGCUACCCCCGCGCCCAAGUGUUCCCAGGCCACCCCCGCGACGACCACCGCUCCCGCCACACCGGCGCCGUUGGCCCGUGUCUGUCUGAUGCCGUUGGCCGCUUGAGCGCGUGCGACGUGCUGGUGGGCGUGCACGGCGCGGACCCGACCAAGCUCCUGUUCCUCCGCCCGCGCCGCGCCGCGCUCCUGCAGGUGGCGCCAUUGGGCGUGCCGCACGUGCCGCACGGCUGCUACGAGAAGGCGACGGCCAUGAUGGAGAUGCACUACGAGCAGUACGACGCGGCGGCGAACGAGAGCUCGCUGGCCCGCAAGUACGUGGCGGACGACGUGGUGCUGCGCGACCCGGAGGCGGCGACGCGCGAGCGCGGGUGGGGCCUCACCGCGCGCGUGUACCUCGGCAGUCGCGUGCUUCGCCGGGGCGUCGCCAUGGAGAAGAGCACGGAGUGCACGUGA